UAGUCUUGUAUCGUAUUUUCAUGAAGGGGUCAUGUGACGUUGCUAAAAAAGAACAUUAUUUUGUGUAUUUGAUGUAAUGAAAUGUGUUUAUACAGUUUAAAAAACACAUUAAUUUCUUGUAAACAAUUCCUAAUUAAUGUCAUAAAUGUGAUCACCAGUCAUCAUCCAAAUUCUUUCAUUUAGAACAGCGAGCUGCAAGAACAGCUUACAUUUCCAAAAACCUGCAGUACUCAAACAAGAAAAAGUGUGUACGUCUGCUCAGACCCUGACGUGACGCUAAGCACUUUUCCACGUCGAAGCCAUAAAUUCCACGUUUUCAUAAAUAGGAGCGUUGACGUAGAUUUAAAUGUAUACACACUAUAAUCUGAGCGUACACACACUUUAUAAAUGAGGCCCCUGGUCUUUGUUCAUCAUAUCUGGUCUGUGGGUUUAACUGUAAAUUCCCCUACAAUAGGGAAUAUGCAAACACCCAAUAAUUUCCGCUUUUCUGAUUUGACCACAGUUUCAUGUCACUUAAAGUCUUCAUUUACAGCUUAUGUUUGCCAACAUAUUCAUAACUCCUUAAUAGGUUUUUUUUUUUUAGUAUGUUUAACAGUCAAUAAUUAAAGAAUUUAUAUUUUAUGAACCAACAACAUCAGCAUCAGAGUCUUUAUCCCGCAUCACUUAAUUUUAAUCGAAUUGGACCCAAGAUGAUUCUUUCUGAAAGAACACUCUGCUGUUGCUGUAGUAACUAACACAACUUUCAUGCGCAUCUGAUUGACAUAAACCGCACGCUAUUAUUACAGUUUUUUUUAUUUAUUUAUUUUUUAUGGAUAUUUCAGCUAACAAUUUGAUUUUUAACAUUCAGUUGAACAACUUGAAGUUAAAGUUAAAGAUUGUCCGCGGUGAUGCUGUUCUAAAUCCUGCUGCACCACAGAGUGCCACUUACAUUUUUUUUUUUUUUUUUUUGACUUCACUGAAGGCUAUCUUAUCCUCACUCUCAUGAUACAGAAGAGCCAGCUCUGCACUCUCCUAUUGGCCUUUCCGUAAAAUAUUGCUGUACUCAUUUUCUGAAAAUAAGAAAUAAUUAUUUAUACAUAAAUACUACUACUACAGUAAACACUUUAAAUAAUUAACUGCAAACACAUUAUUGUUACUAGCUAUAAAAAAAAUUCCAUCAGAGAAAUACAUAACUGCAAUUCCACUGUGGUGCAGCGUUGCCAUAUAGAAACAUUUAUAUUUUCUUUUUAAAGUAAAACUAUGUUAGACAAAGUUGAAUUGUGAAUAUAAAUUACAUAGUUUACCUAGAAAUGCCGCAAAAAAACACGUGAGAGUGACUAAGAAAAAAAGAUUUGGACGACAUUCAAAUGCCAUGUGACUUAAAAACUGCACAUCAUUGUCUACCUUAAAGCCUGCCCUUUCAAUUCCCAUAGAGCAAUAGAUUAGUAUUAUUACUUUUUUUUUUUUUUAAGAACAGUGAAAUUAGUAGAAAUUAAAGGCAAUAUAGCAACUCCAUANUUAUUAUUACUUUUUUUUUUUAAGAACAGUGAAAUUAGUAGAAAUUAAAGGCAAUAUAGCAACUCCAUACCAUAAAGCCUUAAGCUUAGAAAACAUUUUACACUGAAAUCAUAUUAACCACUUAGACUAUUUUAUGUAAUUCAAGCUUUUAUAGACUGACGUUUAUCGGUCAAAGCAGUAACGCAAAAUUGUUAGUAAACAAACAUGAAUAUAUUUGUGGUCAAACGCAAACAGGAUAUUUCACUGCAAGAAUAACAAUGAAAAAAGGUUGUGAAUUGCGAACUUGAAACAUUCAAUAUGAAUACUAAUUUUCCAUAAAUUCACACAUCUGAGAUUGAUGAAAGUUACAAAAGCUCUUUAAGGG
ensembl:lncRNA